rnacentral:rRNA from 1 species
GACGAACGCUGGCGGCGUGCCUAAUACAUGCCAGUAGAACGCUGAAGGAGGAGCUUGCUUCUCUGGAUGAGUUGCGAACGGGUGAGUAACGCGUAGGUAACCUGCCUGGUAGCGGGGGAUAACUAUUGGAAACGAUAGCUAAUACCGCAUAAGAGUAGAUGUUGCAUGACAUUUACUUAAAAGGUGCAAUUGCAUCACUACCAGAUGGACCUGCGUUGUAUUAGCUAGUUGGUGAGGUAACGGCUCACCAAGGCAACGAUACAUAGCCGACCUGAGAGGGUGAUCGGCCACACUGGGACUGAGACACGGCCCAGACUCCUACGGGAGGCAGCAGUAGGGAAUCUUCGGCAAUGGACGGAAGUCUGACCGAGCAACGCCGCGUGAGUGAAGAAGGGUUUCGGAUCGUAAAGCUCUGUUGUAAGAGAAGAACGAGUGUGAGAGUGGAAAGUUCACACUGUGACGGUAUCUUACCAGAAAGGGACGGCUAACUACGUG